rnacentral:rRNA from 1 species
GAUGAACGCUGGCGGUGUGCCUAAUACAUGCAAGUCGAGCGAACAGACGAGGAGCUUACUCCUCUGACGUUAGCGGCGGACGGGUGAGUAACACGUGGAUAACCUACCUAUAAGACUGGGAUAACUUCGGGAAACCGGAGCUAAUACCGGAUAACAUGUUGAACCGCAUGGUUCAACAGUGAAAGACGGUCUUGCUGUCACUUAUAGAUGGAUCCGCGUCGCAUUAGCUAGUUGGUAAGGUAACGGCUUACCAAGGCAACGAUGCGUAGCCGACCUGAGAGGGUGAGGGGGCAGAGGGGAAGUGUGACAAGAGGCAGGACAAAAGGGGAGGCAGCAGGCGGGGAGAUGCAGAAAUGGUCGAAAGCUUGAAAGAGGAAAUUAGGAUGAAAGAAAAAGGUCUUCAGAUCCGAAAACAUUGGUAUGAGAGAAAAACAAAAGAGUAAGGAAAAAUGACCGACCUGAAGGUAACUAAACAGAAAAACCCGGCUAACUUAAUC